rnacentral:rRNA from 1 species
UACGAAGGGGGCUAGCGUUGCUCGGAAUCACUGGGCGUAAAGGGUGCGUAGGCGGGUCUUUAAGUCAGGGUGAAAUCCUGGAGCUCAACUCCAGAACUGCCUUUGAUACUGAGGAUCUUGAGUUCGGGAGAGGUGAGUGGAACUGCGAGUGUAGAGGUGAAAUUCGUAGAUAUUCGCAAGAACACCAGUGGCGAAGGCGGCUCACUGGCCCGAUACUGACGCUGAGGCACGGAAAGCGUGGGAGCAACAGG